rnacentral:Y_RNA from 1 species
GGUUGGUCCUAGUGCAGUGGUGUUUACAACUAAUUGAUCACAACCAGUUACAGAUUCCUUUGUUCCUUUGCUACCACUGCUUCACUUGACCAGACUUUA